AGUGAACGCUGGCGGUAGGCCUAAUACAUGCAAGUCGAACGCCAGCACAGUAAGAGCCUGCUUUUACGGGUGGCGAGUGGCGGACGGGUGAGGAAUACAUCGGACUCUACUUUUUUGUGGUGGUCAACGUAGGGGAACUUACGCACAUACCGCAUACGACCUACGGAUCUAAGCAGUAUAUCUUCGGACCAUGCGCGAUGGAUUGACCCGAUGUCCGAUUAGCUAGUUGGCGGGGAAAAGGCCCACCAAGGCGACGAUCCGUAGCUGGUCUGAGAGGAUGAUCAGCCACACUGGAACUGAGACACGGUCCAGACUCCUACGGGAGGCAGCAGUGGGGAAUAUUGGACAAUGGGCGCAAACCUGAUCCAGCCAUACCGCGUGGGUGAAGAAGGCCUUCGGGUUGUAAAGCCCUUUUGUUGGGAAAGAAAAGCAGCAGGUUAAUACCCCGCUGUUCUGACGGUACCCAAAGAAUAAGCACCGGCUAACUUCGUG
rnacentral:rRNA from 1 species